rnacentral:rRNA from 1 species
UACGUAGGGGGCUAGCGUUGUCCGGAUUUAUUGGGCGUAAAGAGCGUGUAGGCGGCUUUGCAAGUGGCGGGUGAAAUCCCUCGGCUUAACCGAGGAACUGCCUGUCAAACUGCAUGGCUUGAGACCGGGAGAGGUGAGUGGAAUUCCCAGUGUAGCGGUGAAAUGCGUAGAUAUUGGGAGGAACACCAGUGGCGAAGGCGGCUCACUGGACCGGUACUGACGCUGAUGCGCGAAAGCGUGGGGAGCAAACAGG